rnacentral:rRNA from 1 species
GGAGGGGGAUAACUACUGGAAACGGUAGCUAAUACCGCAUAACGUCGCAAGACCAAAGAGGGGGACCUUCGGGCCUCUUGCCAUCGGAUGUGCCCAGAUGGGAUUAGCUAGUAGGUGGGGUAACGGCUCACCUAGGCGACGAUCCCUAGCUGGUCUGAGAGGAUGACCAGCCACACUGGAACUGAGACACGGUCCAGACUCCUACGGGAGGCAGCAGUGGGGAAUAUUGCACAAUGGGCGCAAGCCUGAUGCAGCCAUGCCGCGUGUAUGAAGAAGGCCUUCGGGUUGUAAAGUACUUUCAGCGGGGAGGAA